UGGGAUCCGUCCCAUUGAAAGGAAUGUAGCUUUUUAAAAAAAGCCGAACCUUAGG
rnacentral:ncRNA from 1 species